rnacentral:rRNA from 1 species
CCUACGGGGGGCUGCAGUGAGGAAUAUUGGUCAAUGGACGAGAGUCUGAACCAGCCAAGUAGCGUGAAGGAUGACUGCCCUAUGGGUUGUAAACUUCUUUUAUAAAGGAAUAAAACGAGGCACGUGUGCCUUUUUGCAUGUACUUUAUGAAUAAGGAUCGGCUAACUCCGUGCCAGCAGCCGCGGUAAUACGGAGGAUCCGAGCGUUAUCCGGAUUUAUUGGGUUUAAAGGGAGCGUAGAUGGGUUGUUAAGUCAGUUGUGAAAGUUUGCGGCUCAACCGUAAAAGUGCAAUUGAUACUGGGAGUCUUGAGUACAGUUGAGGUAGGCGGAAUUCGUGGUGUAGCGGUGAAAUGCUUAGAUAUCACGAAGAACCCCGAUUGCGAAGGCAGCUUACUAAACUGUGACUGACAUUGAUGCUCGAAAGUGUGGGUAUCAAACAGGAUUAGAUACCCCGGUAGUC